rnacentral:rRNA from 1 species
UACGUAGGGGGCAAGCGUUGUCCGGAUUUAUUGGGCGUAAAGAGCGCGCAGGCGGUCGUCCAAGUCGCGUGUGAAAGCCCCCGGCUCAACUGGGGAGGGUCACGCGAUACUGGUCGACUCGAAGGCAGGAGAGGGUAGUGGAAUUCCCGGUGUAGUGGUGAAAUGCGUGGAUAUCGGGAGGAACACCAGUGGCGAAGGCGACUACCUGGCCUGUUCUUGACGCUGAGGCGCGAAAGCUAGGGGAGCAAACGGG